rnacentral:sRNA from 1 species
GGAUGGGAGAGAUUUUAACAUUUCCUUCGGAUUUAAUUGUUCUAAUUAGAAAAUCAUUUAAAUUAAUGUAAAUAUUUAACGUGUGACAAUUAUCGAGGACUGGUUAUUGUGGAAUUCUGUUGGAGUUUACUCGUUGCUAUGGGAUAUAUAAUCCGUCAACCUUAAACAAUAUGACUUAACAAAUUCAGUUUGAGAUUAACUAAAAGUUUACUUUUGGCUUGGAACUCAAACAAUUAUAAAUAUAUUAAUACUUCGUUUUCUUUCGGAGAUUACUUCGAAGUAAUCCUCAUUUUUAAUGACUACGUCACUUGGCGAGUCACCAAAAUUGGCGAAAGACCGAGAUCUCGGGCGAGGGUGGUGCUGCGCUGCCUCCUCGGGUGCUUGAGGGUAUGCGCCGACUACCUCUUCGGCUGUGAGGAGGAUGAGCAGGGACACAGGAGAGGCAAGGACCAGGAGGAUUACGCCAGCAGCCCCACGGUUACUACGCCUUCGGGGUGUAGCAUUGAAGAUUCGGAGGAUACGCCUCUGGUGAGGAAUAGCUCGGACUGGCUACCGACCUACAGAGAAAUCAAAGAAUUGUUUCGUAUCUUUGACAAAAAUCAUGAUAACACAAUAUCCAGCUCGGAGUUGGGUAAGAUGUUGACUUGUAUGGGGAUGGAAGUCUCUGAGGAAGAAGUGGAAACCUUGAUGAAAGAGCUCGAUAAAAA